ACUCUCCUACGGGACGCAGCAGUGGGGGAUAUUGCACAAUGGGGGGAACCCUGAUGCAGCGACGCCGCGUGGGUGAAGGAGCGUUUCGGCGCGUAAAGCCCUAUCGGCAGGGAAGAAGAUGACGGUACCUGACCAAGAAGCCCCGGCUAACUACGUGCCAGCAGCCGCGGUAAUACGUAGGGGGCAAGCGUUAUCCGGAUUUACUGGGUGUAAAGGGGGCGCAGACGGCCAAGCAAGCCAGGGGUGAAAGCCCGGGGCCCAACCCCGGGGCUGCCCUUGGAACUGCAUGGCUGGAG
rnacentral:rRNA from 1 species